CGGCUCAGUAACACGUAGUCAACAUGCCCAGGGGACGUGGAUAACCUCGGGAAACUGAGUCUAAACCGCGAUAUGUCAGGAUUUCUGGAAUGGUUCCUGACUAAAAUCUGUAUGGCCUCUGGAUUGGACUGCGGCCGAUCAGGCUGUUGGUGAGGUAAUGGCCCACCAAACCUGUAACCGGUACGGGCUCUGAGAGGAGGAGCCCGGAGAUGGGCACUGAGACAAGGGCCCAGGCCCUAUGGGGCGCAGCAGGCGCGAAACCUCUGCAAUAGGCGAAAGCCUGACAGGGUUACUCUGAGUGACUUUCGCUAAGAAAGUCUUUUGGCACCUCUAAAAAGGGUGCAGAAUAAGGGGUGGGCAAGUCUGGUGUCAGCCGCCGCGGUAAUACCAGCACCCCGAGUGGUCGGGACGAUUAUUGGGCCUAAAGCAUCCGUAGCCGGUUCUGCAAGUCCUCCGUUAAAUCCAGCUGCUCAACAGAUGGGCCGCGGAGGAUACUACAGAGCUAGGAGGCAGGAGAGGCAAGCGGUACUCAGUGGGUAGGGGUAAAAUCCGUUGAUCCAUUGAAGACCACCAGUGGCGAAGGCGGCUUGCCAGAAUGCGCUCGACGGUGAGGGAUGAAAGCUGGGGGAGCAAACCGGA
rnacentral:rRNA from 1 species